GAUGAACGCUGGCGGCGUGCUUAACACAUGCAAGUCGAACGGUGAAGCAGGAGCUUGCUCUUGUGGAUCAGUGGCGAACGGGUGAGUAACACGUGAGCAACCUGCCCCUGACUCUGGGAUAAGCGCUGGAAACGGCGUCUAAUACUGGAUAUGUGAUGUGACCGCAUGGUCUGCAUCUGGAAAGAAUUUCGGUUGGGGAUGGGCUCGCGGCCUAUCAGCUUGUUGGUGAGGUAAUGGCUCACCAAGGCGUCGACGGGUAGCCGGCCUGAGAGGGUGACCGGCCACACUGGGACUGAGACACGGCCCAGACUCCUACGGGAGGCAGCAGUUGGGAAUAUUGCACAAUGGGCGGAAGCCUGAUGCAGCAACGCCGCGUGAGGGAUGACGGCCUUCGGGUUGUAAACCGCUUUUAGCAGGGAAGAAGCGAAAGUGACGGUACCUGCAGAAAAAGCACCGGCUAACUACGUGCCAGCCGCCGCGGUAA
rnacentral:rRNA from 1 species